AUCUAAAAAGUUCACAGCAGGCCGUGACAAUUCAUUACAUUUAAAUCUCCUUUACUUGUAAAGAAUAGGGAAAGGCAGAAUGAAAUCAAGCUAGCUUACCGUGGAAGGAGAAAAUGGAAUUGUGUUGAGGUCUGGGAUGGUACUUUCAAAGAAUCACGUAUCCUUCAGUGAGAAUAACAAAAUAGUAAAAAUAUGCUGACACCUUGGUCUGGGUCCAGGAGGUUUCUACUUUCUAUCAGCCUGGUGACCGUGAUGGAGCAAAAGUGCAUUUGAAGAUGACGUGCCUUGGUGAAAAUUGGGACACUGAACUGAGUCAAGGAAAUAUGAAGAUCACCAUCCAUUAUAGCUGCUGAAUUCUCUCAUUGGGUUAAAAAAGCAAUCGAUGAUUCAUUUAUUAAGAUAAUAUCUAAAGUGAGCAAUGUGGAGAACAUGCUUCCCGGGAUUUCACCAAAAGUUUGCCUUACAAACCAAAAGGGCCACUGGGUCUCCUCAUGGAUCGUGAUGAAAGCCCAAAAAGUAAAGGAUUAGCCGUGGUCUCCUUUCCCAUUGGUGACAUGGCAGAAUUCUUACUUGGUGAUCAGAGGGAUGUUGUAAGGCAGUGAAGGUUGUGUUGGAAUCAGGAGACAUUCUUAUAUUAGGUGGGAGACCUAGGCUGAUGUUUCAUUGUGCCACUGGCUUACCGCCAUUCACCCAAACACUGCGCCAAAGCCCCCGCUAGAGGAAACAAAGAUCCGUUCUAGCCUUUGGAAUCUUACUUUGAGAGAGAAUUGAUAGGCUUGGUAUAUAUUGAGUUGAAGCAGUCUCGAAGUGAUUCUAUACUCUCGAGUUUAAUCCUGAUUUAGAAAGCAAUAUGAGCCUAGUGUUAAUAGUCCUUCAGCUUUUGGGGGAAGGUGACUGCAUUAAGAGACCAAUAGUAGCUCACUUUUUCACAAACUAGACCUUUGUUUCAGAUUUGCUCUGCAUGAAUCUGUCAUGUAUUUUUUAUAAGCAUAUGUCGUAGAGAUAAGUGAGAAGGGAUGAUAGGGUGGAUCCUUCCUAAUAUGAAACCAGGGUGAGAAAAGGUGUAAUAAGGAGAAGGGAAUGCUUUCAAUCAAGGACAAGAGGUGCUCGUUUUGCCAGGACGUACUCAACGAUACGAAUCUGUCGAUAAAAUCAUGUAUUCUUGGAAGAUAGAUCUACCUCUUAGGCUUCAAUAAUAAUCUAUUCAUAAAGGAUGGUGAGAGUAGAGUCUGUCUAGAUCUCUUACUAGGCCAUGGUGGGUGGUCUGCCAUAACUUGGGGCAUUACUUUAUGUACGCAUUGGUAGACCACAUAAUUCCCCUGAAAUAUUCAAUGCUUUGGCCGCUUUAUUAAUCCUCCUUUUGGCAGCCAAAUUUCACCAGUCACUAGAGCAAAAUUUGUUUGGUACAACAUGCGCUUGUUUUUGCUUGAAGAACACUUGAGAAACUCCUAUUUUAUAAGCAAACCACAAGAUCAACCACUCCCACUCAAAAAAAAAAAAAAAAAAAAAAAGAUGUUUGAAUUGCAUUUCAUAGGUGGGAUCCAUGUAAGCUUAUCAGCUUUGGACAGCAUUAGUUAUAACCAUACAAGUACGUUUUACUAGGUAUAAAAAUCCUUCGAAAUUCCUCAGUAUGCAUCCCAUGCAUUAUUCAACAACGUUCCUUUUUCCCUGUAGUUGUUUGCAGCCUUUUUUGCUUGUUCUCAUAGAACUAAACAAAUCAUAAACUGCAUAAUUAACCAAUGCAUUUGAUAUUUCUGCUCCCAGGAAAGGGUGAUGGGAAGAGGGUGAGCCAAGCUGGAGAAGCAGGGCACAUGCUAGAUGUAUAUUAUCAGGUGGAAGAUCUGAGCAUUUCGCAUGUGCUCUAGCUCUCCUGCUUGGACCCACUUUCUUGCAAGCGCAAGCUGGUUGGAUGCAUCGUGCAGCCCUUAUCAUAAUAGAGGUAAGUCUCUUACUAGUUUAUUGAAAUAAUACUUUUUUGCUUACGUCCAGUACUUUUCAUUAGAUUCAUUACAUGUGUAUUGUUACGUUAAUGGAUGGGUAAAAUUGGUUACGUUGAUGAAAAAUUCCAAAUGAAAAUUCUCUUGCAACUUAUCGUAAUAUUGUAGUAAUUGAACAUAAAAACAUUCUUCAUAUUAGCUCUAUCGAUCUCAAAUCUUGACGAUCGGAUGGUAAAAACAUAGCAACACGGCUAAUCUCUCUAGAAGAGAAAAAAGCACUCUAGAAGGAAGUCAUAUAGAGUUACAAGCCACUGAAAAGCCCAUAAAACCAAAUCAGACCAAAGCAAAGGAAGAAGUCUAACGGAGAAGAAGUAAUCAAAUUGGGACAAAAGACAAAAGAAAGUGAAUUUAUUUAAUAUAAAGAUGAAAAAAAUCUGAUGACAACUCAUAUUCCUCAUGAUGAGAAAUAAAAAAGAUAAAAUUUUCUAAAAAUUAUGAUGAAAAAAAAAGAAGGGAUUAUGUGAGUAGAAAGAAAUAAACUCCUGACUUGAAAAUGAUAUCUUUUAUUGUUGUAGAAAAAAACGUUUGGCCAAAAUUUCAAUAACAUUGCUUGACUCAAAUUAAUAAAUUAUCUGUAGUUAGAAAUCCAUAUAACCUUUAUUAAGUUAUUCAUAAAUACCAGAAGAUGAAAAAAAUUCUAAAACAUUCAUCUUUCUUGAAUCAACCACGAUGAGAGCGAUUCUCCAGAGCUGAUGCUGCAGACUCUACAUGAACUAGCAAACAAGUGUAAACUUUCUUCUUCAACCGCUCAACAAUCUCCAGUAUCCCAUCAUUCUCUGACCUCAAUAUGCUUCUCAGUUUAUCCAACCACUCAUUCGCAUGCUUAAGCUGUGAUAAUGUGACAGCAAUAUGGUUGUCUGGCUCCAUUUGUCGUCCUGCACUGUCCUUACCUUUCUUCUCCUGGGUAACUACACGAAACCCAACAUCCAAUGCCCCCUCCAAGAAUUUCAAAAACCAAGAUCUUGUUUCAUUUAACAGAACCUCUCUCAGUUCUUUGAUCUCUCUUGCAUCAUCCCAUUUAGCCCAUUCUAAUUUCUCAGCCCCACUUAAAUCAAUAGGAGCCUUUGGAUACUUCAACAUACUUUUACCAUGAAUAGGACCAGCCUUUUUGCCAGUUUUGUCCAUGUCUGGAACAGAUAGGAGAGCUGAUAACUGAAGUGACUUAUCCUUUAAUGGAGUUGCUGCAUUCGGUUGUUCAAGCAGCUGAUAGAGUGUGAAGAACUUGGUAAGAUACAGGUGGGGGUUCUCCAGCGAGGCAUAUGAGCAGAGAUCAGCAAACAUACUGAGAAAAAUAAGGAAAUAAGACUUGUAGGACAUAACUGUGAAAAUUGGGUUCUCUUUCUGGUGGUCAAAAUAUGUUCUGAAAUGACAUUUAAAUCCUGAAAUAGACUUACCUGAGGCACCUGACCAGAGUUGCAGCCGUGGCUGCCUGCUUCUGAGCUUCUGCUGCAACCAAAUAAGCUAUAUUUCUCCUUCUAAGCAUUCCCUUGUAAAGUUGCAAUAAAUGAAAAGAAAGAAUAAUUACUUAAUGAUGGUAAACUUGAUGUACGAUUCUGUGAGCUUGCUGUUUUAGGUACUUUUCCCAUGCACCAAUUCUAAUUUGAUUAAUAGGCCAUCUACUCUGUCCACAAGAAAAGAGAAGAUAUGGCGUCUUUGAUCUGAUAGUAACCAAUGCCAGUCGUUUGGUUAUAAUUCUAGUGAAAUGCAGAAGGAUGAAAUAGUAGCCACUGAAUGGCCAGUCUGAUAGGUGAAAUGGUAACCAAUGACCAUAUAACUAAUUUCCGAAAUAUAGCAAUUGAAAAACAAAAGGUGGAAGAAUAAUAAAGGCAAGGUACCUUUCCUGGCUUCAAAAGACCAGCAGGCAGAGAAGCCCAUGAAGCUGCCUCGGGCGAAGGGUUUUUAUCUUUAUUGUUUGACAAACAAUUCAAGUUCAUGUUUUCCUGUUUACUUGAAGUGCGUUUUGCAGGAGUGCUCUUAAAAGA